AUUGAACGCUGGCGGCAGGCCUAACACAUGCAAGUCGAACGAGUGGCGGACGGGUGAGUAAUGUCUGGGCACCUGCCUGAUGGAGGGGGAUAACUACUGGAAACGGUAGCUAUACCGCAUACCAUCGGAUGUGCCCAGAUGGGAUUUGCUAGUAGGUGGGGUAAAGGCUCACCUAGGCGACGAUCCCUAGCUGGUCUGAGCGGAUGACCAGACACACUGGAAAUGGGACACGGGCCAGACGCCUACGUGAGGCAGCAGUGGGGAAUAUUGCAGAAUGGGCACGAGUCUGAAGCAGCCAGGCCGCGUGUAUGAAGAAGGACUUCGGGUUGUAAAGUACUUUCAGCGGAGAGGCGGUACCCGCAGAAGAAGCACCGGAUAACUCCGUGCCAGCAGCCGCGGUAAUAC
rnacentral:rRNA from 1 species